CCAAGCUGAGGUCUCAGCAGGCCAUGCUCAGGGGUAUCUCCACCAUGGCCUGGACUCUGCUCCUCACCCUCCUGUCUCAGGGCACAGGUGA
rnacentral:pre_miRNA from 1 species